AUCGAACGCUGGCGGCAGGCCUAACACAUGCAAGUCGAGCGAGCGGCGACCGGGUGAGUAAUGUAUGGGGACUGCCCGCAAGAGGGGGAUAACUAAUGGAAACGGAAGCUAAUACCGCAUACUAUUGGAUAUCACAUAGGGGAUUAGCGAUUAGGUGAGGUAAUGGCUCAACUAGGCGACGAGCCCUAGCUGGUCUGCGAGGAUGAUCAGCCACACUGGAACUAGGACACGGCCCAGCUUCCGCCGGAGGCAGAAGUGGGGACUAUUGCACAAGGGGCGCAGUCCUGAUGCAGCCAUGCCGCGUGUAUGAAGAAGGCCCUAGGGUUGUAAAGUACUUUCAGUCGGGAGGCGUUACCGACAGAGGAAGCACCGGCUAACUCCGUGCCAGCAGCCGCGGUAAUUC
rnacentral:rRNA from 1 species